rnacentral:rRNA from 1 species
AGAGUUUGAUCAUGGCUCAGAUUGAACGCUGGCGGCAUGCCUUACACAUGCAAGUCGAACGGCAGCACGGGAGCAAUCCUGGUGGCGAGUGGCGAACGGGUGAGUAAUAUAUCGGAACGUGCCCAGUAAUGGGGGAUAGCCCGGCGAAAGCCGGAUUAAUACCGCAUACGACCUACGGGUGAAAUCGGGGGAUCGCAAGACCUCGCGUUAUUGGAGCGGCCGAUAUCAGAUUAGCUUGUUGGUGGGGUAAAAGCCCACCAAGGCGACGAUCUGUAGCUGGUCUGAGAGGACGACCAGCCACACUGGGACUGAGACACGGCCCAGACUCCUACGGGAGGCAGCAGUGGGGAAUUUUGGACAAUGGGCGCAAGCCUGAUCCAGCCAUGCCGCGUGUGGGAAGAAGGCCUUCGGGUUGUAAACCACUUUUGUCAGGGAAGAAACGGUUCUUACCAAUACUAGGAACUAAUGACGGUACCUGAAGAAUAAGCACCGGCUAACUACGUGCCAGCAGCCGCGGUAAUACGUAGGGUGCAAGCGUUAAUCGGAAUUACUGGGCGUAAAGCGUGCGCAGGCGGCUUUGCAAGACAGAUGUGAAAUCCCCGGGCUCAACCUGGGAACUGCAUUUGUGACUGCAUGGCUAGAGUACGGUAGAGGGGGAUGGAAUUCCGCGUAGCAGUGAAAUGCGUAGAUAUGCGGAGGAACACCGAUGGCGAAGGCAAUCCCCUGGACCUGUACUGACGCUCAUGCACGAAAGCGUGGGGAGCAAACAGGAUUAGAUACCCUAGUAGUCC